UACGUAGGGCGCAAGCGUUGUCCGGAAUUAUUGGGCGUAAAGGGCUCGUAGGCGGUUUGUUGCGUCGGGAGUGAAAACCUCGGGCUUAACUCGGGGCUUGCUUUCGAUACGGGCAGACUUGAGGCAUUCAGGGGAGAACGGAAUUUCUGGUGUAGCGGUGAAAUGCGCAGAUAUCAGAAGGAACACCGGUGGCGAAGGCGGUUCUCUGGGAAUGUUCUGACGCUGAGGAGCGAAAGUGUGGGGAGCGAACAGG
rnacentral:rRNA from 1 species